UUAUUUUUGAGACGGAGUCUUGCUCUGUUGCCCAGGCUGGAGUGCAGUGGUGUAGUCUCAGCUCACUGCAACCUCCACUUCCCGGGUUCAAGCAAUUGUCCUGCCUCAGCUUCCCAAGUAACUGGGACUACAGGUGUGCACCACCACACCUGGCUAAUUUUUGUAUUUUUAGUAGAGACAGGGUUUCACCAUGCUGGCCAGGAUUCCUAACAUGUAACCUUUAUCCCAUAGCAUGGACCCAUCAAAAGGCAACUCUUCAAAUGCCUUUAAUGAUGACACAACUACUCACCAUAGAUGUGUAAUAUACUGGCCCCUUUCCUCACUUCCACACAUUCUCAGUACUAGACAAUGGCCAAACUUUUCUGCCAAACUUCACUUUAUGACCCUUCUCCGGCAACAGUGUAGAAAGCAGACAAGUGUGCCUUUAAAGUAUUGAU
rnacentral:lncRNA from 10 species